ensembl:lncRNA
UGCUGCUUUCACGUACUGCAGGAAAUACUAAUGAUAUGCCGUCUGCAUGAGUCUUCCUGUGCUUGGGACCAAGACGAGCCGGAUGAGAUCCAGCAGCUGCUGCAUUCAAGGGAGAAGGCUGCUUGGAAGGAGGAACUGGAAAAGGUGUCCCAGGCCCUGAAGGAGGCGGAGGAGAAGUUGGAGGAUCUCCAAGAGGAGGUGUCGUCUCUCUGGAGUCAGCUGUAUCAGGAGAGAGAGCAAGCCACCCUGCUGGCUGGAGCUGAAGCAGCCUGGAACAGAGAAAAAGAGAUCUGUGCCGUUCAGGGCCGCAGCGAGCAGGUUUUCCGAGGCAAGUUGAGAGAGGAGCUCAAAAAGCUGGAGCAGCCCAGAGAGGAUGAGAAGGAGCAGCUCAGGCAAAUGGAAGCCAAGCGGCCACAGAUGCUGGGGGCCCGAGAGGAGCUGUCAGCAUGCGGAGAACUGAGAAGGCUCGAAGAAGGUUAACAGUCCUUUGUGCCUAAUGCAGUGAAUAAAGUUUGAUGUAGAAGCUUUACGCUCAUAGAUGUUUUCUGUGCGCAUGUUGCAUUAACGUUGUUAAAAGAAACGUCUAACGUAUCGUAAGCAGCACAUUUACUAGACCGACAAGCGUUAAAUGAGAAGAUUUGAGGAUGAAACAAAGCCAGGGGCUGCUUAGCUUAGCACAGUAAACUGGAGGAAAGACUUGUUCAACCCAAAGAUAAGCUUUGCCUUUCUAAGGUUAAUUA